AGCAAUAAAUUCAUCAUGGGAUCCCAGAGGGAGAAGAGAGAGAGAAAGGGGAAGAAAGAAUAUUUUAAGAAAUAAUGGCUGAAAACAUCCUAAAUGUGAUGAAAGACAUGCGUAUAAAUAUCCAAGAAGGCCAACAAA